GACGAACGCUGGCGGCGUGCUUAACACAUGCAAGUCGAACGGAAAGGCCCUGCUUUUGUGGGGUGCUCGAGUGGCGAACGGGUGAGUAACACGUGAGUAACCUGCCCUUGACUUUGGGAUAACUUCAGGAAACUGGGGCUAAUACCGGAUAGGAGCUCCUGCUGCAUGGUGGGGGUUGGAGAGUUGCGGCGGUUGGGGAUGGACUCGCGGCUUAUCAGCUUGUUGGUGGGGUAGUGGCUUACCAAGGCUUUGACGGGUAGCCGGCCUGAGAGGGUGACCGGCCACAUGGGGACUGAGGGACGGCGCAGACGCCUACGGGAGGCAGCAGUGGAGAAUAUUGCAGAGUGGGGGGAAGCCUGAUGCAGCAACGCCGCGUGCGGGAUGACGGCCUUCGGGUUGUAAACCGCUUUCGCCUGUGACGAAGCGUGAGUGACGGUAAUGGGUAAAGAAGCACCGGCUAACUACGUG
rnacentral:rRNA from 1 species